AUUUAUCUGAUGAGUCCCAGACAGGACGAAACGCAUGUUUUGUAU
rnacentral:hammerhead_ribozyme from 1 species